rnacentral:rRNA from 1 species
GAUGAACGCUGGCGGCGUGCUUAACACAUGCAAGUCGAACGAAGCACUUUAACCUGAUUCUUCGGAUGAAGGGUUUUGUGACUGAGUGGCGGACGGGUGAGUAACGCGUGGGUAACCUGCCUCAUACAGGGGGAUAACAGUUAGAAAUGACUGCUAAUACCGCAUAAGACCACAGAGCCGCAUGGCUCGGUGGGAAAAACUCCGGUGGUAUGAGAUGGACCCGCGUCUGAUUAGGUAGUUGGUGGGGUAACGGCCUACCAAGGCAACGAUCAGUAGCCGACCUGAGAGGCUGACCGGCCACAUUGGGACUGAGACACGGCCCAAACUCCUACGGGAGGCAGCAGUGGGGAAUAUUGCACAAUGGGGGAAACCCUGAUGCAGCGACGCCGCGUGAGCGAAGAAGUAUUUCGGUAUGUAAAGCUCUAUCAGCAGGGAAGAAAAUGACGGUACCUGACUAAGAAGCACCGGCUAAAUACGUG